AGUGGCAGACGGGUGAGUAAUGUAUAGGAAUCUACCUAGUAGUACGGAAUAAUUGUUGGAAACGGCAACUAAUACCGUAUACGCCCUACGGGGGAAAAAUUUAUUGCUAUUAGAUGAGCCUAUAUUAGAUUAGUUAGUUGGUGAGGUAAAGGCUUACCAAGACAAUGAUCUAUAGCUGAUCUGAGAGGAUGAUCAGCCACACUGGAACUGAGAUACGGUCCAGACUCCUACGGGAGGCAGCAGUGGGGAAUAUUGGACAAUGGGCGAAAGCCUGAUCCAGCUAUGCCGCAUGAGUGAAGAAGGCCUUCGGGUUGUAAAGCUCUUUUAGUGAGGAAGAUAAUGACGGUACUCACAGAAGAAGUCCUGGCUAACUCCGUGCCAGCAGCCGCGGUAAUACGGAGAGGGCUAGCGUUAUUCGGAAUUAUUGGGCGUAAAGGGCGCGUANGCGGAUUAGUAAGUUAAGAGUGAAAUCCCAAGGCUCAACCUUGGAAUUGCUUUUAAAACUGCUAAUCUAGAGAUUGAAAGAGGAUAGAGGAAUUCCUAGUGUAGAGGUGAAAUUCGUAAAUAUUANNAGGAACACCAGUGGCGAA
rnacentral:rRNA from 1 species